UACGGAGGGUCCAAGCGUUAUCCGGAACCAUUGGGUUUAAAGGGUCCGUAGGCGGUUUUGUAAGUCAGUGGUGAAAGCCCAUCGCUCAACGGUGGAACGGCCAUUGAUACUGCAAGACUUGAAUUAUUGGGAAGUAACUAGAAUAUGUAGUGUAGCGGUGAAAUGCUUAGAGAUUACAUGGAAUACCAAUUGCGAAGGCAGGUUACUACUAAUGGAUUGACGCUGAUGGACGAAAGCGUGGGGAGCGAACAGG
rnacentral:rRNA from 1 species